GCACAUCGUACCUCCAGUACGAUGUACACAUUUUUGAGUGCCUAUAUUUAUACAUUCAACUAUACGUGUGCCUCCUCUCGGGGGAGCGUACGCGUAUGCAUAGUGAUGUUUUCCCGCUUCGGUGCGCGGUAAAACAUUCAAGAUAGUCAGACGCGACGGUGGCCGGCGUGCCAGUCGUCGUCGUGGUUGAUGAGUACAUCCCAAACCGGAGUCUCAGUGGCAGUGAGCUUAGUACCCCCGUGUGUGAGUUGUGCGGUGCGGUGUCGUGGAAUUAGGCGCGUGCGCGGGAGCGCACGCGCGGCCCGGCGGGGCUUUUUCCGACGACACACAAAACACCCGCAACGACGAACCACACGGCAGGGGGGAACAGUCACCUGAACUCUCAGUGUGCUCCAUCACAUCAGCCCAGUCUAGUCGCAAGUAUA
rnacentral:misc_RNA from 1 species